rnacentral:rRNA from 1 species
UACAGAGACUGCAAACGUUAUUCGGAUUCACUGGGCGUAAAGGGUGCGCAGGCGGCCGUGUGUGUGAGGCGUGAAAGCCCGGGGCUUAACCCCGGAAUUGCACCUCAAACUACACGGCUAGAGCAUUGGAGAGGGUAGCAGAAUUCACGGUGUAGCAGUGAAAUGCGUAGAUAUCGUGAGGAAUACCAGAGGCGAAGGCGGCUACCUGGACAAUUGCUGACGCUCAGGCACGAAAGCGUGGGGAGCAAAAGGG